rnacentral:pre_miRNA from 1 species
UCGGGGUAAAAUAGUGAGUAGCCGGCUUGGGGAAGUGAUCGACCCUUGGAAUAAGUUUAAAUUUGCUUUUUUAAACCCCAUAAAAUUUUUUACCGUGGGUAAAAAAAAUCUUCUUGCGGUAAAAAAAAACCAGAUUUAAAUUUAGCCCAAGGGUUGAUGAUAUAUUUUCCCCAAGAAGGUUGCUCACUAUUUUACCCCAA